rnacentral:misc_RNA from 1 species
ACACCUCAACUCUCAUGGUUCGCCGUGAUGAGCUUGGACCCUGGGGGUUUGCUGGCCCGCGGUCGGCUCCCCUCAAAUGAAUCAGCCUCCCAGUGUUUGGUGGCAUCACGGGUGUGAUAAAUAUCUACGCUUGCGGUUGUCCGCCAGGUAACCUUUGGCGACAAAGGUUCGCUGGAGCUCACAGAUGUCUCUCCUCAGCGAGGACAGCUUUUUGAAC